GGUGAACGCUGGCGGCGUGCCUAAUACAUGCAAGUCGAGCGAACAGAUGAGGAGCUUGCUCCUCUGACGUUAGCGGCGGACGGGUGAGUAACACGUGGAUAACCUACCUAUAAGACUGGGAUAACUUCGGGAAACCGGAGCUAAUACCGGAUAAUAUAUUGAACCGCAUGGUUCAAUAGUGAAAGACGGUUUUGCUGUCACUUAUAGAUGGAUCCGCGCCGCAUUAGCUAGUUGGUAAGGUAACGGCUUACCAAGGCAACGAUGCGUAGCCGACCUGAGAGGGUGAUCGGCCACACUGGAACUGAGACACGGUCCAGACUCCUACGGGAGGCAGCAGUAGGGAAUCUUCCGCAAUGGGCGAAAGCCUGACGGAGCAACGCCGCGUGAGUGAUGAAGGUCUUCGGAUCGUAAAACUCUGUUAUUAGGGAAGAACAAAUGUGUAAGUAACUAUGCACGUCUUGACGGUACCUAAUCAGAAAGCCACGGCUAACUACGUG
rnacentral:rRNA from 1 species